rnacentral:rRNA from 1 species
UACGGGGGGAGCAAGCGUUGUUCGGAUUUAUUGGGCGUAAAGAGCGUGUAGGCGGCCUUACAGGUCAGCUGUGAAAACCCAGGGCUCAACCCUGGGCCUGCAUUCGAUACGGGCAAACUAGAGUAUGGCAGGGGAGACUGGAAUUCCUGGUGUAGCGGUGAAAUGCGCAGAUAUCAGGAGGAACACCGGUGGCGAAGGCGGGUCUCUGGGCCAAAACUGACGCUGAGGAGCGAAAGCGUGGGGAGCGAACAGG